UACGAAGGGGGCUAGCGUUGUUCGGAAUUACUGGGCGUAAAGCGUGCGCAGGCGGCUUCUCAAGUCAGGGGUGAAAGCCCAGAGCUCAACUCUGGAAUUGCCUUUGAGACUGAGUGGCUUGAGUACGAGAGAGGUGAGUGGAAUUCCCAGUGUAGAGGUGAAAUUCGUAGAUAUUGGGAAGAACACCGGUGGCGAAGGCGGCUCACUGGACCGACACUGACGCUGAGGCGCGAAAGCGUGGGGAGCAAACAGG
rnacentral:rRNA from 1 species